GCAGUCGAGCGAGGAGAUUCCCUUCGGGGAUGAACCUAGCGGCGGACGGGUGAGUAACACGUGGGCAACCUGCCUUAUAGAGGGGAAUAGCCUUCCGAAAGGAAGAUUAAUACCGCAUAACAUUACAUUUUCGCAUGAAGAAGUAAUUAAAGGAGUAAUCCGCUAUAAGAUGGGCCCGCGGCGCAUUAGCUAGUUGGUGAGGUAACGGCUCACCAAGGCGACGAUGCGUAGCCGACCUGAGAGGGUGAUCGGCCACAUUGGGACUGAGACACGGCCCAGACUCCUACGGGAGGCAGCAGUGGGGAAUAUUGCACAAUGGGGGAAACCCUGAUGCAGCAACGCCGCGUGAGUGAUGAAGGUCUUCGGAUCGUAAAGCUCUGUCUUCAGGGACGAUAAUGACGGUACCUGAGGAGGAAGCCACGGCUAACUACGUGCCAGCAGCCGCGGUAAUACGUAGGUGGCGAGCGUUGUCCGGAUUUACUGGGCGUAAAGGGAGCGUAGGCGGAUUUUUAAGUGAGAUGUGAAAUACCCGGGCUCAACUUGGGUGCUGCAUUUCAAACUGGAAGUCUAGAGUGCAGGAGAGGAGAGUGGAAUUCCUAGUGUAGCGGUGAAAUGCGUAGAGAUUAGGAAGAACCCAGUGGCGAAGGGACUCUCUGGA
rnacentral:rRNA from 1 species